GAGGCAAUAACAGGUCUGUGAUGCCCUUAGAUGUUCUGGGCCGCACGCGCGCUACAAUGCUGGGUUCAACGAGUGCCUACUUGGCCGAGAGGUCUGGUCAAUCUUUUGAAAUCCCAGCGUGCUUGGGCUUGCCUCUUGCAACUAGAGGCACCAACGAGGAAUUCUUAGUAGACGCAGGUCAUCAACCUGCAUCGAUUACGUCCCUGCCCUUUGUACACACCGCCCGUCGCUCCUACUGAUUGGAUGCUCCGGUGAAUCGUCGGGAGGAUGCGUUCGUGGUCAGCAAUGGCCUGAGCGCGUCCGAACUUCCAUAAAUUUGGGUAUCUAGAAGAAGGAGAAGUCGUAACAAGGUUUCCGUAGGUGAACCUGCGGAAGGAUCAUUA
rnacentral:rRNA from 1 species